GCCUGAUCUGGAGGAGUGUGAAGGGAAACACCCAGGAAGCAGGGUCUGUUGAGUGCCUCAACACAAGGCUGCAACAGGUGGGACUUGACCUGCAAGUGCAGGAGCCAAGGGUGGGCAAGCAUCUCCACACGUUUUGAUUUUAAGGAAAAUUAUUCUUGUGACCACGCACAGGGUGGGAGAAGGAGUGAGCCCACUCGCUCACUAUUCCAGCACCGACACGGGGACGCUCACUAUUCCAGCACCGACGUGGGGACGCUCACUAUUGCAGCACCGACAAGGGGCACCAACACGGGGAUGUUCACAAUUCCAGCACCGACAUGGGGACGCUCACUAUUCCAGCACCGACACGGGGAUGCUCACUAUUCCAGCACCGACGUGGGGACGCUCGCUAUUUCAGCACCGACAAGGGGCACCGACACGGGGACGCUCACUAUUCCAGCACCGACAAGGGGCACCGACACGGGGACACUCACUAUUCCAGCACCGACACGGGGACGUUCACUAUUUCAGCACCGACACGGGGACGAUCACUAUUCCAGCACCGACACGGGGACGUUCACUAUUUCAGCACCGACACGGGGACGAUCACUAUUCCAGCACCGACACGGGGACGCUCACUAUUCCAGCACCGACAAGGGGCACCGACACGGGGACGCUCACUAUUCCAGCACCGACACGGGGACGCUCACUAUUCCAGCACCGACACGGGGCACCGACACGGGGACGCUCACUGUUCCAGCACCGAUACGGGGCACCAACAUGAGGACGCUCACUAUUGCAGCACCGAUACAGGGAUGCUCACUAUUCCAGCGCUAAUACGGGGACGUUCACUAUUCCAGCACCGACACGGGGACGUUCACCCUUCCAGCACCAACACGGGGACGUUUACUAUUCCAGCACCGACAAGGGGCACUGACAGGGGAAUGCACACUAUUCCAG
rnacentral:lncRNA from 1 species